UCACCUCCACAGGCUGCCGGCCCCAGGCUGGGCAGGGCGGGUAUCUCUUCGAAAGGCUCACCCUCAAGCAUGACUAGGAGC
rnacentral:pre_miRNA from 1 species